GAUAUCAACAGGCGUGAACAAAGUUGUGCGGCCCACUAUGAACAGUAUUGUCAACAUGUUGUUACAGCAUUGUUCAACUGUAACAACUUGGAACAACAUGGUUGACAACUUGUUCAUAGUUGGCCGCUUGUUCAUAGUUGGCCGCACAUCAUUGUUCACGCCUGUCGAUAUC